CUGGUUGAUCCUGCCAGUAGUUAUAUGCUUGUCUCAAAGAUUAAGCCAUGCAUGUCUAAGUACAAACUAUAUUAUAGUGAAACCGUAAAAGGCUCAGUACAACAGCUAUUAUUUAUUUGAUCAUAAAAACAGUUACUUGGAUAACUGUGGUAAUUCCAGAGCUAAUACAUGCAAACAAACAUGGAUCACUUCCUUCGGGGGGUUGAGAUAGUAAAAUCCGGCGAGGGCUUGACUCCAAAUCGCAUUAAUAGAUUUACAGUGCCCAAAGUUUCUACAGCCCCACUAGUAAUUCCACUAACCGCAACUCUUUGAUGUGACGUUACUAAGACUUCAGGAUUCAAACUCUCUGCCCUUAUUAAUGAAGCUCGAGCACCGGUAUCAAUUAAAAAAUUUAAAGGACGUAAAUAUUUAGAUUCAGCGCAGUAUAUCUU
rnacentral:ncRNA from 1 species